CUUGCUAUGGUCAAAGCUUUUUGACUUGAGUGAUUGUCAUCAUUCUCACCCCACAGGGAUCAGGUUACAAUCAUUUAAGAAAUGGUGUGUGUCUUAAGAUGGUCUAUCCAUGGAGUCAUUCAUCAACCGUUUCAAUGAACAAUGGUUCUGCUUGGAGGUUGGAACAGCCAUUAGUCUGUCAUCUCAACCAGACCCGUGCCUUCCUGGAUCAAGGAAUCCUGGUUACCCCACAGCAGACCCCAACGGCUGUACAUCCACUGCUGCUAUCCUGACACUACCCAACUGGACUGCUGCUAUAUCUGUGAAGUGUUUGCGAGUGGAUCAAGCUGAUGUUGCUGACCUAUGAACUGAACUGCUGGUUUCCUGACAGUGAAGUGUGGAAGUGAGGAGCUGCAGCUCAGGGCAGCAUGGAGCUGACAGG